rnacentral:rRNA from 1 species
UACGAAGGGGGGCUAGCGUUGCUCGGAAUUACUGGGCGUAAAGGGCGCGUAGGCGGAUAGUUUAGUCAGAGGUAAAAGCCCAGGGCUCAACCUUGGAACUGCCUUUGAUACUGGCUAUCUUGAGUUCGGGAGAGGUGAGUGGAAUGCCGAGUGUAGAGGUGAAAUUCGUAGAUAUUCGGCGGAACACCAGUGGCGAAGGCGACUCACUGGCCCGAUACGUGACGCUGAGGCGGCGAAAGCGUGGGGAGCAAACAGGG